rnacentral:rRNA from 1 species
GUACGCGCGGAUCUUCCAGAGAUUAGAGUUUGAUCCUGGCUCAGAUUGAACGCUGGCGGCAGGCCUAACACAUGCAAGUCGAACGGUAACAGGAAGCAGCUUGCUGCUUCGCUGACGAGUGGCGGACGGGUGAGUAAUGUCUGGGAAACUGCCUGAUGGAGGGGGAUAACUACUGGAAACGGUAGCUAAUACCGCAUAACGUCGCAAGACCAAAGAGGGGGACCUUAGGGCCUCUUGCCAUCGGAUGUGCCCAGAUGGGAUUAGCUAGUAGGUGGGGUAACGGCUCACCUAGGCGACGAUCCCUAGCUGGUCUGAGAGGAUGACCAGCCACACUGGAACUGAGACACGGUCCAGACUCCUACGGGAGGCAGCAGUGGGGAAUAUUGCACAAUGGGCGCAAGCCUGAUGCAGCCAUGCCGCGUGUAUGAAGAAGGCCUUCGGGUUGUAAAGUACUUUCAGCGGGGAGGAAGGGAGUAAAGUUAAUACCUUUGCUCAUUGACGUUACCCGCAGAAGAAGCACCGGCUAACUCCGUGCCAGCAGCCGCGGUAAUACGGAGGGUGCAAGCGUUAAUCGGAAUUAUUGGGCGUAAAGAGCGUGUAGGCGGCCGAAUAAGUCAGAUGUGAAAUCCCUGGGCUUAACCCAGGACGUGCAUUUGAAACUAUUCGGCUGGAGUAGGGGAGAGGAAAGUGGA